rnacentral:sRNA from 1 species
GGGAAAGCACCACGAUCUACACCUGGACGAAGGCGGAGGAACCAUCCGCGGCCGCACGGCCGCAGGGCGCACGCCCUAGGGGUCAAGCCGGGCAACCGGCCGAGCAGCCUCUCGCUCGAACCCGACAGCUAACUUCGCACGCGCGUAGAGAGGAAAG